rnacentral:rRNA from 1 species
GACGAACGCUGGCGGCGUGCUUAACACAUGCAAGUCGAACGGUGAAGCACCUUCCUUUUGGUGGGUGUGGAUGAGUGGCGAACGGGUGAGUAACACGUGAGUAACCUGCCCCCUUCUUCUGGAUAACCGCAUGAAAGUGUGGCUAAUACGGGAUAUUCUGGGUCUGUCGCAUGGCGGGCCUGGGAAAGAUAUUGUUUCGGUGGGGGAUGGGCUCGCGGUCUAUCAGCUUGUUGGUGGGGUGAUGGCCUACCAAGGCGGUGACGGGUAGCCGGCCUGAGAGGGUGGACGGUCACACUGGGACUGAGACACGGCCCAGACUCCUACGGGAGGCAGCAGUGGGGAAUAUUGCACAAUGGGCGCAGGCCUGAUGCAGCGACGCCGCGUGAGGGAUGGAGGCCUUCGGGUUGUAAACCUCUUUCGCCAGUGAAGCAGGCCUGUCCCUUUUGUGGGUGGGUUGACGGUAGCUGGAUAAGAAGCGCCGGCUAACUACGUG